UCUUAUGGAUGUGUAGAAGAAAGUGGUUUCUUAAGAUGGAACCUGCUCUUGGCGAAGAUACUGUGAA
rnacentral:pre_miRNA from 1 species